GACGAACGCUGGCGGCGUGCUUAACACAUGCAAGUCGAACGGAAAGGCCCUGCUUUUGUGGGGUGCUCGAGUGGCGAACGGGUGAGUAACACGUGAGUAACCUGCCCUUGACUUUGGGAUAACUUCAGGAAACUGGGGCUAAUACCGGAUAGGAGCUCCUGCUGCAUGGUGGGGGUUGGAAAGUUUCGGCGGUUGGGGAUGGACUCGCGGCUUAUCAGCUUGUUGGUGGGGUAGUGGCUUACCAAGGCUUUGACGGGUAGCCGGCCUGAGAGGGUGACCGGCCACAUUGGGACUGAGAUACGGCCCAGACGCCUACGGGAGGCAGCAGUGGGGAAUAUUGCACAAUGGGCGGAGGCCUGAUGCAGCAACGCCGCGUGCGGGAUGACGGCCUUCGGGUUGUAAACCGCUUUCGCCUGUGACGAAGCGUGAGUGACGGUAAUGGGUAAAGAAGCACCGGCUAACUACGUG
rnacentral:rRNA from 1 species